rnacentral:rRNA from 1 species
GACGAACGCUGGCGGCGUGCCUAAUACAUGCAAGUAGAACGCUGAAGGAGGAGCUUGCUUCUCUGGAUGAGUUGCGAACGGGUGAGUAACGCGUAGGUAACCUGCCUGGUAGCGGGGGAUAACUAUUGGAAACGAUAGCUAAUAUCGCAUAAUAGUAGAUGUUGCAUGACAUUUGCUUAAAAGGUGCAAUUGCAUCACUACCAGAUGGUCCUGCGUUGUAUUAGCUAGUUGGUGGGGUAACGGCGCACCAAGGCGACGAUACAUAGCCGACCUGAGAGGGUGGUCGGCCACCCUGGGACUGAGACACGGCCCCGACUCCUACGGGAGGCAGCAGUAGGGAAUCUUCGGCAAUGGACGGAAGUCUGACCGAGCAACCCCGCGUGAGUGAAGAAGGUUUUCGGAUCGUAAAGCUCUGUUGUAAGAGAAGAACGAGUGUGAGAGUGGAAAGUUCACACUGUGACGGUAUCUUACCAGAAAGGGACGGCUAACUACGUG